GCCUCAAUAGCUCAGUCGGUAGAGCAUUCGGCUGUUAACCGAACGGUCGUUGGUUCGAGUCCAACUUGUGGCGCCA
rnacentral:tRNA from 1 species